rnacentral:tRNA from 1 species
GGGCGAUUAGCUCAGUUGGUUAGAGCACCUGUUUUACACGCAGGGGGUCAUAGGUUCGAAUCCUAUAUCGCCCACCA